UCCAAGAUGGCGGACAGGCGGCGGCAGCGGGCCUCCCAGGACAGCGAGGACGAGUCCGACUCGGCCGCCUCCGACAGCGUCGAUUCCCCGGCCGGCGCGGCCCGCUCCGGCUCCCCCGCCUCGCCCCCGCGACCGGCCCGGAGCGUCGCCGCGACCCUGCCCGCCGCGGGCUGGGGCCGCGGGACCGAGAGCGCGGCCGGGGCCGCCAAGAGCCCGCAGGAGUCCGAGUGUGAAAGUGAAGAUGGCAUCGAAGGAGAUGCUGUUCUGUCGGAUUACGAAAGUGCCGAAGACUCCGAGGCCGAGGAAGGGGAGUACAGCGAGGAGGAAAGCGCAAAGGUGGAGCUGAAGCAGGCGAGUAACAAUGCCAGUGAAUCCACAGGAAAAGCCGAGAAAGGGGAAGAGAAGCCUGACCCGAAAGGCGCUGUGACGGGCGAGAGACAAAGCGGGGAUGGGCAGGAGAGCACUGAACCGGCUGAGAAUAAAGUUGGGAAAAAGGUCCCCAAGCACUUGGAUGACGACGAGGAUCGGAAGAACCCUGCGUACAUACCCCGGAAAGGGCUCUUCUUUGAACAUGAUCUCCGAGGACAGGCCCAGGAGGAGGAGGUCAGGCCAAAGGGUCGCCAGCGAAAGCUUUGGAAAGAUGAGGGCCGCUGGGAACAUGACAAAUUCCGGGAAGAUGAGCAAGCCCCCAAAAGCAGGCAGGAGCUGAUUGCGCUCUACGGCUAUGACAUCAGGUCGGCUCACAAUCCCGACGAUAUCAAGCCGAGGAGGAUGCGCAAACCACGGUUUGGGAGCCCUCCGCAGCGAGAGCCGAACUGGGCCAAUGAGAGGCAAAACAAGGCGCCAAGACCCCAGGGCUCUGAUACUGAUCCGCUGCCGACACGAACCUUCAUCAGCCGGAACUCCACAGGCAUGGGCAGGAUGCCCCCUGCCAGGAACUUUCCAAGGAUGGGCGGCUACAAAGAGAACCGUCCAAGCUACCGAGCUGUGGAGGCAAACAGCCAGCACCUCUCUCGAACGGGUGAGCCGGCUAAACACGAGAGCAGUUACCGGGCAAGGCGUGUUGAACAAGCCCCGGACAGAGACCCCUCUCCUGAAGCUGAGAUUGCGCAUGUUCACAGCAGUCCUGUCAAGAAGGAGGAGAUUGUUUUGGAAAGCCAGACCCCAAGUACAGACCCUGUACAGCCACCACCAGAUCGACCCAUCGAAAAGAAAUCCUACUCCCGGGCAAGGAGGACCCGGAAUAAAGCUGGCGAUGCCGGAAAGCUGGCAGAUGAAGUUCCGCCUCCAGAAGGCUUGACGCCUGUGACUCCGAAACCAGUGCAGGUCGUGACGCCCCCUCCGCCUGCAAAGGCCGGUAGUUGGGAGACACCAGUAGAAUCCAGCAUGGAUGGACUCGAACAAGACAUGACUCAGUUGAAUCUAACCGAGCAGACCUGGGCCCAAGGACAGCCUCCGUUCCUACAGCCUCGGGAACUUCGGGGUAUUCCUAAUCAUAUGCACAUGGGAGCUGGACCACCACCACCUCAGUUUAACAGGAUGGAGGAAAUGGGAGUCCAGGGGGGCCGUGCAAAGCGUUACUCAUCCCAGCGUCAGCGGCCACCAGUUCCAGAGCCUGCUCCCCCCAUGCACAUCAGCAUCAUGGAAGGGCACUACUAUGAUCCACUACAAUUCCAGGGACCAAUCUACACACACAGCGAGAAUCCUGCCCCGUUGCCCCCCCAGGGUAUGAUUGUACAGCCAGAAAUGCACCUCCCACAUCCAGGUUUACAUCCACACCAGACACCAGCACCUUUGGCUAACCCUGGCUUAUAUCCUCCACCCGUCUCCAUGCCUCCUGGCCAACCGCCCCCGCAGCAGCUGCUCGCACCCACCUAUUUCUCCCCUCCCGGAGUCAUGAAUUUUGGGAAUCCCAGCUACCCCUAUCCCCCAGGAGCACUCCCACCACCUCCUCCUCCCCAUCUGUAUCCCAACACACAGGCCCAGGCCCAGGUGUACGGAGGAGUCACCUACUACAACACUGUCCAGCAGCAAGUACAGCCGAAACCUUCACCACCACGAAGAACAUCCCAGCCCGUCACUAUCAAGCCGCCGCCUCCCGAGGUACUGACCCCUCUGCCGUGCGCUGCUGUGGGAGCCGUUUUCCCAGUGGCCUGCGAUGUGUCUCUCUCCCCCCCUCCCUCAAGAAAUGUCUUGUUUUCAAGAAAAUCUUCAACUGUCUAACCUUUUGACGUGUUCCAAACUCCAGCUUCUCGUUGCAGGUUGUAAGCAGGGCUCCAGUUAAUUUGAGUUUCUAAAUACUUUAAAUCUAAACCCACGUACAAAGGCAGCACAAGUGAAAAAUGGAAGGAAAGGAGCAAUACGUAGGGACACCCGCCUGAGACGUUCCCGCACCGGAAUCGGCACCGCCAGCAAGCAGGAAGCUCUGACUCCGAGAAGUCCCCUUCUCCGUGCUUGGGUGAGGCCAGCGGGCGCCCACCUGCAGCACCCUGCUGCGGCAGUAUUGUGCCCAGGGCUGGGCACCCUUCCCUCGUAGGUGUUUAGUGGGGCGCUGCCCCCGGUCACUGGGUCAUGGAGGGCGUUGAAAUGCCGAACACAGGGGUUGCUCCCUUGUGACAAGUUCUCCUGAUUCUCCUCCCCCCGUUAUUAAAUGUUUUGCCCUUUUCCCAUCGUAGCAUAUUGAAUGAAGCUGGCUUGGCUCUGUCCUAGUUUUUUGUUUUAAAAAUGAACUGGCCCUUUCUGUUAAGCUGGGUCUAGGAGUCUCUGGGGGUCAGGUAGCCAGGAAUGUAACCACCUCCCCAAGAAAUAUCUGAUGUUACUUUGUUUCUUCAGCUCUGAAAUUAGCAAGUUUAUUUCUGACAUAGCUUAAGCUUAGAUGUCUGGGAAAGGGCCGCUGGGUGUUAGCAGCCUGACAGGAAUGCGCUGGCCGCUCAGUCACCACUUAAUUUAGAAGCUCCUCCUCUUUCUCUCUGGAGCAAGCCCUGCUGGGAACUGUGUUGUGGGCAGUCUCUGUCGUCCGUGUGUGCAAACUCUCAGCCUGAAACAGACCGGGAAGCAGCAUGCGCCGAGACGGCAAAGUCCAGUCUCUGCUGCCCCACCAGUGCACGCUGCAUCCAGCGAAGGCAGAGUUCCUGCUGCCUGGGGACUCGCCACUGAAUGGGACCCAAAGAGGAGCAUGCGGCUCCUUGGCCUCUUGCUUGCAGGCUGCUUUUCCCUCAGCCUCGUUCUUGGCAAACCGGCUUGGCGGGAUAAGCCCGGGUACAGUUUGUACCCAGCGCUUGGGUGGUGCUUCUGUGUAAAUGGAAGGUGAUGCAACCAGCCUUAACACAUCCACUUCCAAGGACGAGAGUGCUCGGUCGGAACCCCAAGGAGGAACACUUGCUGCGCACGUACCAUAACUUAAUGGGUUCCUCCCCUUUGGCUCUGAAAUAGCAAAAUAGCCUUGAUCCCUGGUUUAGGAGUCUGAAGCCUGGCCCUGCAGCACUGUGGUUGCUGCAGCAGCCUGGCUUGCCCACGCUGCAGUGAUCUGCUGUCGCGUCUCUGCAGCAUGGGUCCUGCAGGGAUCGCUGCACCGCUUCCAGCUACGCUCCAGCUUGGCUUUGGCCUCUCAGCUGUUUGCAAAUUGCGUUAGGGGAAGGUGGCACAAGGUUGCUAAUUCAGCCCUGGACGCGCUGGGGCAGCGUGCGUCUGAGUCGUUCAGCAGGUGACUAAAAAGCAAGCGGCGUCUCGGCCUGUGAAUUCCCAGCCAUGGGCAGAGGGAGGAAGAGCCCCCACCUGCCUGUUUCGGGUUGAGAUCUUUUCACGCAGAUGUGGCUUUCGAACUGAAGUACUUUUUUGUUGGUGUUUAAUUUAACAACCUUUUGUACUUAGUUGAAAUUAACUCAAACGGCAUUUUAAAAAAAUCCUUUGUUUAAAAUGUAACUGUUUCUCUGCCUUACGCUGAAAUGUGUCGUUUAACCUAUUGGUCGCAGGACUGACAUUCUAGACCUAACAACACUGUGAUGGCUUUUUUGUUUGGUUUUUGUUCCUGUUCUUUUGGCGUGCACACGUGUAACCGACAUUGUAAUGACUUGGUGGAGACGACAAUACAUCUUAGAAAGUCA